rnacentral:rRNA from 1 species
UACGGGGGGGGCAAGCGUUGUUCGGAAUUACUGGGCGUAAAGGGCUCGUAGGCGGCCAACUAAGUCGGAUGUGAAAUCCCCAGGCUCAACCUGGGAACUGCAUCCGAUACUGGAUGGCUUGAAUUCGGGAGAGGGAUGCAGAAUUCCAGGUGUAGCGGUGAAAUGCGUAGAUAUCUGGAGGAAUACCGGUGGCGAAGGCGGGUCUCUGGGCCGUAACUGACGCUGAGGAGCGAAAGCGUGGGGAGCGAACAGG